rnacentral:rRNA from 1 species
UACGAAGGGGGCUAGCGUUGUUCGGAAUCAUUGGGCGUAAAGAGCGCGUAGGCGGUCCGGUAAGUCGGUUGUGAAAACUGGGGCUCAACCCUCAGAGGCCGACCGAUACUGUCGGCUAGAGUCCGGAAGAGGCGAGUGGAAUUCCUGGUGUAGCGGUGAAAUGACGCAGAUAUCAGGAGGAACACCAAUGGCGAAGGCAGCUCGCUGGACGGUACUGACGCUGAGGCGCGAAGCGUGGAGCAACAGGAUAGAACCU